GGGGCGGAGCGGGCCGGGAACCGGGGAGCGCGCGGGAGCCUGCGGGGUCCUGGGCUGAAGGGAGGCCUCCCCUGCCACUUUGUCUAAGAAGAAACAACGUUGAUUAUAUCACGGUGUCCGACUCCUGUGCUCUUUCCUCAAAGCAAUUAAAAGAGGACUCGAGCCAGAAGUAGCGUCACGGGGACGAACGCCGACCCUGAGAAAAACACCCCGAAGGAUCCGGGAGAAAUGGAGGAUCCCGAAGCGCAGCGGAAGCGCUCGGUCAGCGAAGAUGUGGCCGGCGAGACGGAGGAAAUGCUUUACCCGGGGUGGUGGCGGCCUCGUGCAGGUGGAGGCAGGUGCCGCAGAGGCCACGGCUGCGCUGGCAUCAGGGUCCCCAGUACCGUCUCUGGGCUGGAAUGAACGAACAGUAAUCACUUCUGUUUGGGUUGGAGCAGACAUUCCCUUCAGAGUGAAAUAUCAAUGGAGAUCUGUUUUCCCUGCUCAGUUGUUCAGUGAACACAAGUUUUUUAAAAAAGCCCUCAGCGAAGAGGAAGGAUGAAUACUGAGAAAAUAAAGGAAUAAAGCCUGGGGUGCAAGUAGGGGAAGGGGCAGAGGGAGACAGAGCACCUCAAGCAGACUUUCACUGAGAGGGGAAGGCCACCGGGGAUUUGAUCUACGGACCCUGAGAUCAUGACCUGAGCCAGAAUCAAGAGUGGGUCUCUUAAGGAGGGAACUGGUGUGCACAGAGAUUAAGUGACUUGCUCAAGGUCACACAUGUAGUAACUGGUGAAGCUGAAAGAUGAACAGCCGGGUACCAGAGCCUGUGCUUGCAACCACUCCUUGUACAGCUACCUCGAUAGUGGUCACACAAAAGCUGGGAAGAGAAAGACGGAUGUCAACUAGUCUGCGUCCAAAUCUGGGCUGAGGAGGAAGAAAUGAGCAGCUGGAACAAACCACAGAGGUCAAGAUGGCCACCAGCCCGUGGAACCAGCUGCCUGGGCCCAUAUUCACGAGCCACGUUCACGAGCAGCACUGAAGGGCAUCAAGGGCAGCAGAGCUGCCGGCCCCAAUCACUGCAACUUGAGGAAAGAAGCAGGAGCUCACUCAGACAUGGUCUUGAUGCGUUUGGGCUCUUUCGUGGCCUUCUCCCAGUUCGUGCCCUAGAAUCCCUCAGCAACCGCACUCCACACAGUGCCCUCCUCCAGGCAGUGUGGGGCCAUUCCAGAGCCCCCAGGGUGUGCGCGGGGCAUGGAAAAGCUUUGAAUGACACCGCUCUACAGAAGGUGAUGGGAGAAAAACUCUAAAGACCUCAUACACAAGGGAAGCCAUUUUUAAUUUCUUUCUAAGUUAGUGUAAUGGUGCAUAAACUUUUGUUGAACCAAAAGCCUAAUGCAUGGCCCACGACGCAUACAUUGUACAUCUGCUUUGUAAAGGAGUGGCCUGAAGGAAAACCAGCUUGUCCUCGAGACCGAGGUCAGUGCUCCUACUCCUGGCAUUCCUUUGCAGUAAAACUCAUUCCUGCCUGUGUGCCCAUCUAUCGUCCUUUGAGCUCUCACAAGAUGCAAAAAAGUAUAGGACCCUGUAAAAACUGUUCCUUCUCCAGAACAUUUUCUGCCCUGUGAAGAGCCUGUUUCCCCGGCGGCUGGCCUAAGCUGGGCUCAAAUAAAACUCUUUCUUUUA